UACGUAGGGUGCAAGCGUUGUCCGGAAUUAUUGGGCGUAAAGAGUUCGUAGGCGGUUUGUCGCGUCGACUGUGAAAACCCGAGGCUUAACCUCGGGCCUGCAGUCGAUACGGGCAGACUAGAGUUCGGUAGGGGAGACUGGAAUUCCUGGUGUAGCGGUGAAAUGCGCAGAUAUCAGGAGGAACACCGAUGGCGAAGGCAGGUCUCUGGGCCACUACUGACGCUGAGAAGCGAAAGCAUGGGGAGCGAACAGG
rnacentral:rRNA from 1 species